UACAGAGGGGGCAAGCGUUAUUCGGAAUUAUUGGGCGUAAAGGGCGCGUAGGCGGUUCUUCAAGUCUCUCGUGAAAUCCCUCGGCUUAACUGAGGACGUGCGGGAGAUACUGAAGGGCUUGAGUCCGGAAGAGGGUGGUGGAAUUCCCAGUGUAGCGGUGAAAUGCGUAGAUAUUGGGAGGAACACCGGUGGCGAAGGCGGCCACCUGGGCCGGAACUGACGCUGAGGCGCGAAAGCGUGGGAGCAAACGGG
rnacentral:rRNA from 1 species